rnacentral:rRNA from 1 species
GGGGGACCGAAAGGCCUCGCGCUCAAGGGGCGGCCGAUGGCAGAUUAGCUAGUUGGUGGGGUAAAGGCCUACCAAGGCGACGAUCUGUAGCUGGUCUGAGAGGACGACCAGCCACACUGGGACUGAGACACGGCCCAGACUCCUACGGGAGGCAGCAGUGGGGAAUUUUGGACAAUGGGGGCAACCCUGAUCCAGCAAUGCCGCGUGUGUGAAGAAGGCCUUCGGGUUGUAAAGCACUUUUGUCCGGAAAGAAAACCGCUUCUCUAAUACAGAGGUGGGAUGACGGUACCGGAAGAAUAAGCACCGGCUAACUACGUGCCAGCAGCCGCGGUAAUACGUAGGGUGCGAGCGUUAAUCGGAAUUACUGGGCGUAAAGCGUGCGCAGGCGGUUCGCUAAGACCGAUGUGAAAUCCCCGGGCUUAACCUGGGAACUGCAUUGGUGACUGGCGGGCUAGAGUAUGGCAGAGGGGGGUAGAAUUCCACGUGUAGCAGUGAAAUGCGUAGAGAUGUGGAGGAACACCAAUGGCGAAGGCAGCCCCCUGGGUCGAUACUGACGCUCAUGCACGAAA